GUUAUUCGAGGUGGAAGAUUUCGUCCACGUCCACACGCCGAUGGUACUGACAGGGGAAUCCCGAGAGAUGCAGGAGAAUGGGACGCCUGCCGAAUAAC
rnacentral:ncRNA from 1 species